rnacentral:lncRNA from 1 species
AUUAAUAUUUGUUUUUCAGAAUAGAGCAAAUGUUGAUCUCCCUCCCCGUUUUUUUAACCAUCCUUCUCGUUAUCUCCAUUUUAUGGACAUGGACGAAAUUUAUCAAAAGCAACAAGUCAAGUUCAAAUCCACCUCCUGGGCCAUGGAAAUUACCCUUUAUUGGAAACCUUCACCAGCUAGUUCACCCUCUGCCCCAUCAUCGCCUAAGGGACUUGGCCAAGAAAUUUGGACCUGUCAUGCAACUUCAAGUUGGUGAAGUUUCCACUGUCAUUAUUUCUUCAUCAGAAGCAGCGAAAGAAGUGAUGAAAACCCAUGAAAUCAACUUUGUUGAAAGACCUCAUCUCCUAGCUGCAAGCGUCCUGUUCUACAACCGUAAAGACAUUGCAUUUGCGCCGUAUGGCGAAUAUUGGAGACAACUAAGAAAAAUCUCCAUAUUAGAGCUUCUUUCGGCAAAACGUGUACGAUCAUUCAAAUCUAUCAGGGAAGAAGAGGUAUCUAAUUUUAUUGCUUCCAUUUAUUCAAAAGAGGGGUCUCCAAUCAACCUUAGUAGGAUGAUAUUUUCUUUAGAAAAUAGCAUCACUGCGAGAACAAGCAUUGGUAACAAAUGCAAAAACCACGAAGGUUUCUUACCAAUUGUUGAGGAAUUGGCGGAGGCACUUGGAGGUUUGAAUAUGAUAGAUAUGUUCCCUUCCUCCAAAUUUCUUUACAUGGUCAGUCGGUUCAGGUCUAGACUCGAAAGGAUGCACAGAGAAGCAGAUGAGAUACUUGAAAGCAUCAUCUCCGAGCGUAGAGCCAACUCCGCUUUAGCGUCAAAGAUGGGCAAGAACGAAGAGGAUGAUCUUCUUGGUGUUCUUUUGAAUCUUCAAGACCAUGGAAACCUUGAAUUCCAAUUAACAACAAGCACUAUCAAAGCAGUCAUCCUGGUUAGUAUAUAUUUUCGCUUUGUUACAAGCACUAAUUAAUCAGUUUUUUUAUAAAAAAAAUAUAACCAUCCACAAACUUGAUGAAAUGAAAUCAUAUAUAUAUAUUUAAAUGCAAACCAACGGUCUAUACUCUAUAUUUUUACUUACAUCAUGUUACUCCUCCUAACUGGAAGUGAACUCAAUCCUAUCUAAUAUGUCAUUCUUUACUUAAUUACCUUUCAGGAAAUGUUCAGUGGUGGAGGUGACACUUCGUCAACAGCUUUAGAAUGGGCAAUGUCAGAAUUGAUAAAGAACCCGAGAGUCAUGGAAAAGGCACAAAAAGAAGUGAGACAAGUCUUCAAUGAUCUUGGAACUAUUCCUGACGAAACAAGCCUUCAUGAUUUAAAAUUCUUGAAGUUGAUUAUCAAAGAAACUCUAAGAUUACAUCCUCCUGUACCAUUGAUUCCAAGAGAGUGCAGGAAGAGAUGUGAUGUUAAUGGAUACGACAUCCACGUCAAAAGUAAAGUAUUGAUUAAUGCAUGGGCAAUUGGAAGAGAUCCAAAUUGUUGGAAUGAACCUGAGAGAUUCUAUCCAGAGAGAUUCAUGAAUGUUUCGACUGAUUUUAAGGGUAGCGACUUUGAAUUCAUCCCAUUUGGUGCUGGAAAGAGGAUGUGUCCUGGCAUGUUGUUUGCUACAGCCAACACUGAGUUUCCACUUGCGCAGAUGUUAUACCAUUUUGACUGGAAACCUGCUGGUGGAUUGAAGCCUGAAAAUCUCGACAUGACUGAGUCUUUUGGUGGCGCAGUUAAAAGAAAACAAGAUCUUAAGUUGAUUCCCAUUUCAUAUCGUUCACUCGUGGGAUAAAAAUUGUUACAAUAUGUUAUGAUAUGAAAUAAAAGUUUGUAUGAUAUGUGUUAUGUUAUGAAAUAAAAGUUGUCUCAAUGAAAAAAUUGUUUAGAACUGAUAGAAUUUCCUUCCGAUGUAAUGUAAUUUUUUAUUGGAGUGAAUUAAAAUUUUUAAACCAGGAGUUAUGUCGAUUAAAAUAUUCUAUUUGAAAUAAAAUUGUAUCCUUUUAAAUAAUAAAGUUGUGUCCUUUUGUUUUAAAAACAAUGCUAAAAUUUAACUGUCAAAAUUAUCUUGUUAGAAGACCCAUUAAUAAACACAUAAUUAAAACUUGAAGAAAAAUAAUAAAAUACAUCACAAUGAGCUCUUAUGAAAUAAUACGGAGAAUAAAUCUUGAUAAAAUGACAUUCGAGAUGACGAGGAUCACACCUAUGGAUAAAAGGAACCAUUAGAAGUGAAUAAAUCUCUAAAAAGUUUCAAGGCAGCCAUAAUUAUGAAAAGCGUGUGAAGCAAAAUGCUAAAGAGGCAUGCUUAAAAAAGAGAAGUCAAAGUCAAAAGGACACACUAUCAAGGCAAAUUCAAAAAACAAAAAGAGCAAUCAUGCAACAUGAUUGAAAAGUUCAAAAAUGUUAUGAAGUGAUCUAGUUCAUCUAAACCCUUUAAACACAUUUUGAGCUUAAGAAAUCCUUUCUUUUCAUAGUUAACAUUGCGUGUCUUUAAAAUUCCUUUCUAAUCAAAAGUCAAACUUUUAGGAAAAAUAAUACAAAUAAUACAAAGAAUUAUUUGAAAGUGGAUCAUGAUCUUAUUCAAUAUUAUCAUGAUCCUAAAAUGGUUGUUCAACUCUUAAAAGCCUUCUUCAUCAAAAAAGAAAUCGCACACAUCAAAAUGUGCUAAGGCAGAUUACCAACCUUGAACACUUUCUCUCUGAAAAAUCAGAACACCUCAAGAGGCAUCACAAGAACUUUUCCAAAAGAAUCAAUCUUUACUUCUUCAUAAAACUUUAAAAGGCAUGUUUUGGUUGUUAACCAUCCAUUAAAAGAUAAAUGUUGAAUAACAAACCACAAAAACUUGAAGAGUUAAGUUCAUGAUGACAAUGAUCAUCAAAUAAUCAAAAUGUAGAUGGUAAGCCCAAAAGGUCUCUACCAAAAAUAAGUGAUUCUAUGUUUUUUGACCUAUAAACAACAUUUGAGUCUAGUAAUUAUCCAUUCUAUUUUAGUCGUGAACCAUAGCUUACAUUACAUGUCUUUAAAAGUCUUUUCUGAUCAAUAACUACUUGUUUUUGUUGAAAGUUGUUAACUUUUUUGAAGAGAAGAAAGACCAUGACCUGAAUAUGUACUGAGACUUACUUGGUCAUUAACUUCAGGACCUGUGGAAUUAGUCAGAGAUACAUACAAACUGGCUCAGACAUCUAUGUUAAUCUAAAAAGAUUGUAACAUUUUGAUAUGAUAAGCUAUACUCUGAAAUAAAGAACUGAUUAUAACACUAUUUUAAAAUCUUUCUUCUUAGUUUUGGUUAGCUGAAGGCAUAAAUGCCUUGCUUUCGGAAGUGGUUUCCAAAUCUAACUUCAAGAAAACACACAUUUGCAUGCUAAGAGUUAGUCAUGGAUAUCAAUGAUAUCAUGCUUCGUUGGUGGGUAAAUAUUUAUAGAAUCCACCAUGGUAAAAGAGAUCUUUAAAAUAAUUUCUUCAUGGAUAACUAAUUUAAAGAGAUUGAUUAAGCAAUUAAUGAAGUAUGCUAUAUUUUUGAACUUUAUGAGUUCGUUUUUCUAAUUUUUUUUUAUUACACAGGAUUAAUAUAGAGUUAUGUUUUUUAAAAUUGUCUUGUUUUUAAGAUUCAGUUGACAUGCUAGAUAGUCCAGAAAUAUCCCUUAUCAUUAAAUAUAAAUAAAAAAAAUUGAUCUUAUCCGCUACAGGCAAAUAAAAUCUUAAUAACCUUAUACAAAAGUUACCACAUUAUCUAUAAGCUUCAAUUUCAUUAAUUAAUGCAAUCAAAUCAAGACGUUGGGGAAUAAACCAUAGGGAACGAAAAGAACAGAGGACGAACGAAGAGAAGAGAGAAACAAAAGUUGAGAUCAUAGUAUUCCUGCAGCGCGCCCUCACUUCGUCUUCAGUAGCAGCUCCAGGUCUCCAUCUUCAGUAGCAACUGCACUGCACCAGAAACAGGACCAGGGAGCGCACACAACAGAGACAGAACACACAGAAGACAGAGAGACUUGUGACCGUCCCCCAGCAAAAAAGGGAACUUCAACUUCCCCUCGCCGCAGGUUGGAUGAUCCAACCAACCAAAAACGAACACAGAGAAACCAGGACGACAGAGAGAGAAGAAUAAAAAAACGGACAGGAAGAAAAACACGGAAAAAAAAACGCAAACAGAGAGAAAACCAGAAGAAAAGGAAGAACCACAUAGAGAACAAAACACAUACAGACACGAAGAAACAAACCCAGAAAAAAAAUUGAAAAACCAGAGAGAACGAACACGAGAGGAAGACAGACGAGCAGAAGGAAAGAACAUAAACAAUUAAUCGACAUCUUACUGAUCAUGUGAAUUUUUUUUUUUUAACGUAGUUGGCCGGGCCUACUUGUACACGUAUCGACUAAUUCCACGAGUUUUAAAAUUAACGACCAUGUAAGCUUUCAGUAGCCUUGAGAUAACUCAAACUCGUGAUAAUUGGAGAGCAAACUCAAGGUCUAAUCAGUUGAGCUACCCCUCAAGGUUGUUCAUGUGAAUUUUAAUUCACUGGUAACUGUACAUGCACGUGUGAACUAGUUCACGCGUGCCUCCUACGGGUUGGUCAGACCUAGCCUCAAAAAAAGGAGAAAAAGUUGAGGCCGGACUAGGCUGACCUCAACCCAGCCAGCCCAAUUUGUUUUGGACCAAAGAUGUGUUUGACAAAACAUACUCUUAUGUCUUAUAUCUUUUAUUACACUCUUUUUUAUUUUGAUAUAUAGUCAAACAGGCCUUUUCUGAUAUCAGAAAAUUCCAAAAAAAAAAUUUGGACCUUUUUUUAUUUAUUUGUAGGUCCCUCAUAUUAUUUUUUAUAUAUUUCACUAUAUAAUUGAUCUGUGAAUUUUUAUUAUAAAAUGUAAAUCCGGUAUACUAUAUUUUUUUUCUUUUAAAAAAAAUUAUUUUACUGGUUUAUUCACUAACGUCAAAGCCAGGAAUACCAUAUAUUUUUUUUAGCUAUGAAAUAUUUAUCAACGCUAAAGUUGAAAGUAUUUGUAGUUAAAUAUCAACUGAUACUAGAGUCAGAAAUACUACAAGCAUACUAUCGAUAAUAUAAUAUAACAAAUUUUUAAUAAUUUAAAAUAAAAACUGCAAUGAAGCAUUAAUAUCACGUUUAAGGAGUGAUAAAUGCUGUGAUGUUUUUUGUUCUAUUAUUGGUACCUCCUCCUCGAUCAAUAAUUCACUAUUAGGACAAAAGAGGUGACCUUUCUUUGUGUAUAUGCUAAUAUGUCCUCUUAUGACAAAAGAGAAAAGUACUUUAGGUACACUUCUUCGUUGCCCUUUCUCUCGAUCCCAAAUAUAUAUAUAUAAAAAGCAAGAGGUACCUCUUGUUUAAAAUGUGUCAAGUGAAAAAAGUUUGACCUCUUGUUUUUUAUAUAUCUCUCCCUUUCUAAAACAUAUUGCUUCGCAUGCGGAAAAAAUAAUAAAUGGUUAAAAUGUGUUAAGUGAUAAAAUAGUUAUAUAUAAGUUUUGAAUUAUUCUAUCAUGAAGUCACAAAAUCUAAAAUAUUUAAGAAUAAAACUAAUGUUAUAGAUAAUUGAUUAAUUUUUUAGUUGAGACAAUUUGAUUCAUUCUUAUUAGUUAAUAUAUCUGGUAGCUUGAUAUAAAAAACUCGAGUAGCUAAUAAGUGGUGUUUGGUAAAUUAAAGUAUCUGGUAUCUGGUAACUAUAAAAGAUCUCUUAUGAUGGAAGUGAGAACUCUUUGAUGCUUAAAUCAUUAAUUUUAUAGAGAGAGAAAGUGUAAUGAUGUUUUAAAGAGAUAAACUAUGAAAAUAUGUAUGUUGAAAGUGUUAAAAAUGAAGAGACUAUGAACCUUAAGUUUAAAUAUUCAUGGUGUAUUUAUAGUUCAUAAAUCUUGUAUUUUGUGGAUAUAAGAGACAGGAUUGUAAUUCUAUUUUUAUGAUAUUUUAAGUUAUAUUCUAUAUAAAAUAAUAAUUAUUGGAACAAUACAAAAUAAUGAGGUAACCACAUAAAAUCCCGAAAAAAUCCUCAAAAGAAAGGUUAGCUUAGGCAAUUUGCUUGUGCCCAUUAGAGGUAGAAAAAAAAAGGGUUCAAGGCGUGCUUUUUAGGACAAACCUAUGGAUUUGUGCUCCUCUCGUAUGGAGUCGAGUUUUUCCCUUAGAGGGUGUUUGGGAGUGUGGUAGUGGUUGCUUUUCAAAUAGCUUUUCGUGCCGAAAUACAUGCCAAUGAUGUUUUUUUAUUUUUUAAAAAUCAUUUUUGAUAUCAGCACAUCAAAACGAUCCAAAAGGUACAAACCGCACUUAAUUUUAGCAAAAAAAAAAAAAUUUAAAAUUCGCUGAAAAGCAGGUUGAACAGUAGAGCCAAACGCUCCCUUAGAGCGAGCCUAUGAAGUCAGGCUUCUUCUCUAGAAAGAGAUUACGUAGUCGAGCUCAUCUUCUAAGGCGAGACCAUGAAGUCAGACUCUUCCCCUAAGGUGAGCUCAUGGAGUGAGGAUCCUCACCUAAAAAGAGACCAGGAGUGGGGGCUCCUUCCUUUAGAAACUCAACACAUUUAACACUAUAUAUUUUCACCUUAGUGUUAAAAAAAUAUAUGGAAGGGAGCGUAAGCACCUUCCUCACCGCCUAUAAAUAAAAGCAACCCAUUCCAACAAAAAGGGGGAGAGGACAAAACUGAAAAACCCGCUCCCACACACUGCGUUUGCAAACCCUUCAGCCCAGGAACACUCUGUCCAACCAAAACCAGAGGGAAUUAAAGAAAGACUUAAUUUGAAGCAAAAUUUAAGGUUGAAUUCCAAUUUGACCAAAAUUAAAAGAAUUAAUUAUGUUCAAUGACUUAAUUAAACUUUUCAUGUAUUAGGAGGAUUCAAUAAGAGACUCAAUUAAAGAAAAAUAAAGUUUGGGGUAUUAAUUCAGAUCAAUUCGCAAAAAUUAGAAGAUUAGGGAUAUAAUUGGAGCUUUGGAAGGUUAAAUUAAUGCAAUCAUGGGUGCAAUUGCAGGAAAAUUAAAAUUUGAAGGCUAAUUAAGAGUAAAUUGAACAAUUCUAAAACUAAGGAUUAAAGUGAAAGAAACGUGCAUAUUCAGGGACUGUAAUUGAUUAAAAAUCAAGGAUAAAUUUAAAGAAAUUAGAAUUUUGAAGCUCAAUGAUAAUGACAUUAAAUAUAUUCAAAACCAAGAACUAUAUUGUAAAAGAUAAUGCAAAAAUUAACAUGACCAGGGAUUUAAUAAAAAAAUCUUGAAUAAUCAAUUCAAAUUGUCCGAAUUCAAUGAAAAUAGAAGGAGCCUAGGCACCUUCCCCACCUUCUAUAAAUAGGGGGAGAGGACAGAACUGAAAAACCCACACUCCAACCAAAACCAGAGGGAAUUCCCUUGUCCCACUUUUCCUCCCCUGUUCCAGCAAAAAACACCGUUUCUCCUCCCCUACAGCACCAAGUACACCACACGAGAACACCACCAGCAUCCUAUUCCAGCCAAAAACAACAAUCAGAGACUCUGUCACUAAUUAAUAUUUGUUUUUCAGAAUAGAGCAAAUGUUGCUCUCCCUCCCUGUUUUUUUAACCAUCCUUCUCGUUAUCUCCAUUUUAUGGACAUGGACGAAACUUAUCAAAAGCAACAAGUCAAGUUCAAAUCCACCUCCUGGGCCAUGGAAAUUACCCUUUAUUGGAAACCUUCACCAGCUAGUUCACCCUCUGCCCCAUCAUCGCCUAAGGGACUUGGCCAAGAAAUUUGGACCUGUCAUGCAACUUCAAGUUGGUG